rnacentral:tRNA from 1 species
GGAGAGAUGGCAGAGUGGUUGAAUGCGGCGGUCUUGAAAACCGUUUAUCCCAUUGGGAUACCGGGGUUCGAAUCCCUGUCUCUCCG